UUCGAUGCAACGCGAAGAACUUACCUGGUCUUGACAUCCCGGAGACCCUUAGGAAACUAGGGGGUGCUUCCAGUCUGGAAGAAUCUGGAGACAGGUGCUGCAUGGCUGUCGUCAGCUCGUGUCGUGAGAUGUUGGGUUAAGUCCCGCAACGAGCGCAACCCUUGCCUUUAGUUGCCAGCAGUUCGGCUGGGCACUCUAAAGGGACUGCCGGUGUUAAACCGGAGGAAGGUGGGGAUGACGUCAAGUCCUCAUGGCCUUUAUGACCAGGGCUACACACGUACUACAAUGGCCGAUACAAAGGGCAGCGACACUGCGAGGUGAAGCCAAUCCCGUAAAAUCGGUCUCAGUCCGGAUUGGAGUCUGCAACUCGACUCCAUGAAGUUGGAAUCGCUAGUAAUCGUGGAUCAGCAUGCCACGGUGAAUACGUUCCCGGGCCUU
rnacentral:rRNA from 1 species